rnacentral:rRNA from 1 species
CUGAAACAUCUUAGUACCCGGAGGAAGAGAAAGAAAAUUCGAUUCCCUUAGUAGCGGCGAGCGAAACGGGAAGAGCCCAAACCAACAAGCUUGCUUGUUGGGGUUGUAGGACACUCUAUACGGAGUUACAAAGGACGACAUUAGACGAAUCAUCUGGAAAGAUGAAUCAAAGAAGGUAAUAAUCCUGUAGUCGAAAAUGUUGUCUCUCUUGAGUGGAUCCUGAGUACGACGGAGCACGUGAAAUUCCGUCGGAAUCUGGGAGGACCAUCUCCUAAGGCUAAAUACUCUCUAGUGACCGAUAGUGAACCAGUACCGUGAGGGAAAGGUGAAAAGCACCCCGGAAGGGGAGUGAAAUAGAACCUGAAACCGUGUGCUUACAAGUAGUCAGAGCCCGUUAAUGGGUGAUGGCGUGCCUUUUGUAGAAUGAACCGGCGAGUUACGAUUUGAUGCAAGGUUAAGCAGUAAAUGUGGAGCCGUAGCGAAAGCGAGUCUGAAUAGGGCGUUUAGUAUUUGGUCGUAGACCCGAAACCAGGUGAUCUACCCUUGGUCAGGUUGAAGUUCAGGUAACACUGAAUGGAGGACCGAACCGACUUACGUUGAAAAGUGAGCGGAUGAACUGAGGGUAGCGGAGAAAUUCCAAUCGAACCUGGAGAUAGCUGGUUCUCUCCGAAAUAGCUUUAGGGCUAGCCUCAAGUGAUGAUUAUUGGAGGUAGAGCACUGUUUGGACGAGGGGCCCCUCUCGGGUUACCGAAUUCAGACAAACUCCGAAUGCCAAUUAAUUUAACUUGGGAGUC